rnacentral:rRNA from 1 species
GACGAACGCUGGCGGCGUGCCUAAUACAUGCAAGUUGAGCGAUGAAGAUUGGUGCUUGCACCUAUUUGAAGAGCAGCGAACGGGUGAGUAACGCGUGGGGAAUCUGCCUUUGAGCGGGGGACAACAUUUGGAAACGAAUGCUAAUACUGCAUAACAACUUUAAACAUAAGUUUUAAGUUUGAAAGAUGCAAUUGCAUCACUCAAAGAUGAUCCCGCGUUGUAUUAGCUAGUUGGUGAGGUAAAGGCUCACCAAGGCGAUGAUACAUAGCCGACCUGGGAGGGUGAUCGGCCACAUUGGGACUGGGACACGGCCCAAACUCCUACGGGAGGCAGCAGUAGGGAAUCUUCGGCAAUGGACGAAAGUCUGACCGAGCAACGCCGCGUGAGUGAAGAAGGUUUUCGGAUCGUAAAACUCUGUUGGUAGAGAAGAACGUUGGUGAGAGUGGAAAGCUCAUCAAGUGACGGUAACUACCCAGAAAGGGACGGCUAACUACGUG